rnacentral:rRNA from 1 species
AUUGAACGCUGGCGGCAGGCCUAACACAUGCAAGUCGAACGAGUGGGGGACGGGUGAGCAAUGUCUGGGAAACUGCCUGACGGAGGGGGAUAACUACUGGAAACGGUAGCUAAUACCGCAUACCAUCAGAUGUGCCCAGAUUGGAUAAGCUUGUUGGGGGGGUAACGGCUAACCAAGGCGACGAUCCCUAGCUGGUCUGAGAGGAGGACCAGCCAUACUGGAACUACGACACGGUCCAGACGCCUAGGGGAGGAAGCAGUGGGGAAUAUUGCACAAUGGGCGCAAUCCUGAUGCAGCCAGGCCGCGUGUAUGAAGAAGGCCUUCGGGUUGUAAAGUACUUUCAGCGGGGAGGCGUUACCCGCAGAAGGAGCACCGGCUAACUCCGUGCCAGCAGCCGCGGUAAUUC